rnacentral:rRNA from 1 species
GACGAACCGUGCGAACGUUGUUCGGAAUCACUGGGCUUAAAGGGCGCGUAGGCGGCUUGGCAAGUCCGGGGUGAAAGCCCCCAGCUCAACUGGGGAAGUGCCCCGGAUACUGCCAAGCUCGAGGGAGGUAGGGGCGGAUGGAACUUCCGGUGGAGCGGUGAAAUGCGUUGAUAUCGGAAGGAACGCCGGUGGCGAAAGCGAUCCGCUGGCCCUCUACUGACGCUGAGGCGCGAAAGCCAGGGGAGCAAACGGG